rnacentral:rRNA from 1 species
CAAUAGCGUAUAUUUAGGUUGUUGCAGUUAAAAAGCUCGUAGUUGGAUUUCGGUUAAGAGCGACCGGUCCGCCGUUUGGUGUGCACUGGUUGGUUUUAACUUCCUGUAGAGGACGUGCUCUGGGUUUAACGACCUGGACUCGGAGUCUACGUGGUUACUUUGAAAAAAUUAGAGUGUUCAAAGCGGGCUUACGCUUGAAUAUUUCAGCAUGGAAUAACACUAUAGGACUCCUGUCCUAUUUCGUUGGUCUCGGGACGGGAGUAAUGAUUAAGAGGAACAGUUGGGGGCAUUCGUAUUUCAUUGUCAGAGGUGAAAUUCUUGGAUUUAUGAAAGACGAACUUCUGCGAAAGCAUUUGCCAAGGAUGUUUNCAUUAA